UACGAAGGGGGCUAGCGUUGCUCGGAAUCACUGGGCGUAAAGGGUGCGUAGGCGGGUCUUUAAGUCAGGGGUGAAAUCCUGGAGCUCAACUCCAGAACUGCCUUUGAUACUGAAGAUCUUGAGUUCGGGAGAGGUGAGUGGAACUGCGAGUGUAGAGGUGAAAUUCGUAGAUAUUCGCAAGAACACCAGUGGCGAAGGCGGCUCACUGGCCCGGUACUGACGCUGAGGUGACGAAAGCGGUGGGGAGCAAACAGG
rnacentral:rRNA from 1 species